UGCAAUACGACUGGUUGUCCGAUGCCAAA
rnacentral:piRNA from 1 species